UACACUCCUACGGGAGGCAGCAGUGGGGAAUAUUGGACAAUGGGCGCAAGCCUGAUCCAGCCAUGCCGCGUGAGUGAUGAAGGCCCUAGGGUUGUAAAGCUCUUUCACCGGUGAAGAUAAUGACGGUAACCGGAGAAGAAGCCCCGGCUAACUUCGUGCCAGCAGCCGCGGUAAUACGAAGGGGGCUAGCGUUGUUCGGAUUUACUGGGCGUAAAGCGCACGUAGGCGGACUAUUAAGUCAGGGGUGAAAUCCCGGGGCUCAACCCCGGAACUGCCUUUGAUACUGGUAGUCUUGAGUUCGAGAGAGUUGAGUGGAAUUCCGAGUGUAGAGGUGAAAUUCGUAGAUAUUCGGAGGAACACCAGUGGCGAAGGCGGCUCACUGGCUCGAUACUGACGCUGAGGUGCGAAAGCGUGGGGAGCAAACAGGAUUAGAUACCCCAGUAGUCCCAUGA
rnacentral:rRNA from 1 species